rnacentral:ncRNA from 2 species
GUCGCACAUCAGGAGUUGGGCACUGCCCGACGCCAACCUGCUUCCCGAGCAAGGUGGCGCCCCCGAGAGGGGGGAUGUGGUCGAACCGACAACCAAACGGGUCCAU